rnacentral:rRNA from 1 species
UACGUAGGGGCUAGCGUUGUCCGGAUUUAUUGGGCGUAAAGAGCGUGUAGGCGGCCAGGUAGGUCUGCUGUGAAAACUCGAGGCUCAACCUCGAGACGUCGGCGGAAACCAUCUGGCUAGAGUCCGGAAGAGGAGAGUGGAAUUCCUGGUGUAGCGGUGAAAUGCGCAGAUAUCAGGAAGAACACCCGUGGCGAAGGCGGCUCUCUGGGCCUAGCUGAUCGCGUGAGGAGCGAAAGCGUGGGGAGCGAACAGG